GCAAGUAUGAGAGGAAAGAUGUUUAUGAUGUGGGAGAAGAAACAUCCUCUUUUCUGAAAGAGGAUUCGGAUGAUAUUGAUGCACUGCUCAGCUCGGAAGAGGAAGAACAAGUUGAGUACGAUGAGGAAGUGGUUAGCACAGCCCGGACCUUUGGAAAUUAUGAAUUCGACACUGCUGAUUCUCGCUCUGCUCAUGGCUCGAAACCAAAAAAGAACAAGUCUUCCUCUUAUACUCUGAAGUCUUCUGGUAAUAGCAGUUGUUGUGACCCUGAAAUUAAGCGACUGAAAAUGAAGGAAAUGGUGAAGGUUUUAAGGGGAAUCGUUCCGGGUGCUGAUGAGAUGGAUACUGUUGCUGUUCUCGAUGGAGCUGUUAGGUACCUCAAGUCUCUCAAGGUUGAAGUACAGAAGCUCGGAGUUGGGAAUUUCAAAUAUGAAGAUUGAACCCAAAUCAUGGUAAUGAAGUUCUCACCUUUGUAUACCUCUCCAUAACUGGCCUCUCUCUAAUGGUUUGCAGUCUAGAAAUAAAGAAGACAGGUAUUAGAAUCAAUAUUUGUGUUGUUGUAUGCAUGAACUCUGGUUGUGUAAUAUGAGUACCACCAAGUACCAAGUUUCUAGCU
rnacentral:lncRNA from 1 species